rnacentral:lncRNA from 1 species
GCGGAUUCGCGAUUAGAGGUAAACCGCCGGGCGGUGAACCCUUGCCGCCGGGUGGUGGCGCGAUUAUGGGCGAACCGCCGGGCGGCAUAAGUGUGACGUUGGGCGGUUGUCUGCUGGGCUUGGGCCUAUUUUCUGUGACGCUCCUCAGCUAUAAAUAGCCCUUUUGCGAUUUCAUUCUUAUUCUUUUGACAGAAGAGGGCGGC